UGAUAGGCUGCCAUUAUUUUAACACACAUUUUCUCCUUUCACCUGCGAGAAACCCAUGUCCCAGGGGUUCUGCUGGGAGAAGGGAGGGAACUGGGCAUCUAUUAACUUAUUUUUCCAUUCAAACAGACACAUCAUCAUAACUGAGGAGGGAGAAAACACCAAGUAGAUCACACACUUAUAUUAAGCAAACUGUAAAAGGUUCAUGUUUUGCUCCUGAAAAAUACAUGGCAUGGAACAAAAGCAAAGCAGCAAACAAUGUGUGCAAUUUGCAUUGAGAAGAGGCAUCAUCCCACCAGAAAAUGAACCAAAAGCAGAUAGAGACCAAUGGAGGCAGAACAGAGUGCAUUUUUGGUGGAUGUCCACGGAGGAUCCUUUAAUAUGAAGACCAUUCUUAAAAUGAAGACCAUUUCUCCAGUUUGUCCAGAUCAUUCUGAAUUUUAAUCCUAUCCUCCAAAGCACUUGCAACCCCUCCCAGUUUGGUAUCGUCCACAAACUUUAUAAGUGUACUCUCCAUACCAUUAUCUAAAUCAAUGAUGAAAAUACUGAACAGAACCGGACCCAGAACUGAUCCCUAUGGGAUCCCACUCAUUAUGCCAUGGGCUAGAAAGGUAAAGGAAAUGUCUCACUAUUUCCCAAAUCGGACUACUUGUAUUUCUGAAUUCAAAAGGAGCAUGAAGGUUAUGAUGCUGGCUGGUAAACAACAUUCCCCUGUUCAACUAAGCUGAAGGGAAGUUCUCUCUUUAUUAUAGAGAUAUUUUGCCAUUAAUCGGAGACCUACUAUUAUUAUUUGUAUUAAUACAGUGCCUAGACAUAGUGGGGUUGGCUUAGCAGAAGACAUCCCCCAUGCAGCACAAGUUUGUAAGGGGGGAGGGGGACUGCAAUGUGUGCAGGGUGUUUCCUGAUACCCAGCUAUGCUAACAUGCCUGUGUAUCCACUAGUUCACUCAUUGUGAAUCAUGAGUUUGGGGGGAAGGGUUAGCAAGAGACCCCAGAAUUUUAGAUUCUGCAAGGACUAGCUUUAUUUUGCAUCUUGUACAGAGCCGAGCAUGCUGGUGGCUCUUUAUACAUGCUGAUAAUGCAUAAUACUAACUAUGACUCAAUUUUAAAUAUGAAAAUAUUAUUUGCAGAUUAUUCGAAUGCAAUUCAGAUUAUUAAAUGAAUUUUCUUUCAAUAGCAAUUCAAUAUCAUAAUUAAACAAGCCCUUAUACUACUGGAUUAUUUACCCAGUAUAAAUUAUUCACUUUCUUUCUCCACAGGGGUCUUCUGCUUUGCCUGUGGUUCUCUUCUUCUGCUCUUUGUUUGCUCUGGUCUUUCAUUUUCUGCAUCUCUCCU